AUCAUCAUUAUUGCUGUCAUCAAUUGCCUGUGAGGGGCAUUGGCCUGAGGCUGUUUCCUACUCUCUCCUUGAGCCUUUAUGGAUAUAUUUUGGAUAAAUGGACCUAGACCAACAUGGCAAAAGUCUGAACACAGAGGCUAAGUUUUUCACUCAGGAACCAGCUCCAGGGUUCCUUCGUUCUUCCUGAAAGUCUUGGACCCUCAGCAUCCUUCCCUAGACUACUCUGUGGCCUAGAUUCUGGGCUGCUUUGUGUGGGAAAGCUGGUGGCAGAUCAUGGAAAGACGGCCCAUCAUAGAACCAAACACACGUGAUCACAGGCAUGACGCAAAACAAUGAAGCUUGGUACCUUCCUCUCGCCACAGGAUGUUUGCAACUGCAGCAGCAGAGAAUGAGGAAAGCAGGAGUGUGAUGGAGUCAAGGAAAAAGAAGAAAGCAGUGUUAAACCGUCACUGCAGUGAUUCCAUUUAUGAAGAUCCUGGUACCUAGUCCAUCACUUACAGAAUCUAUACCACUCAUUGCCCUAGGAACAGUAUCUUGGGGGAAGCUCUGGACAUGAACAAAUGCUUUCAGGUCUCCAGACCCUUUGAUUCUUAAGUGAAUCUUUGAAAUCAUGCCCUAGGACCACAGAAGCUAAUGGAAUUUCUCACAUUUCAUGGAUGAUCAAGAGUAAGCAACAUCUCUCCCAGAUUUCCUGGACAACCAGCAGGAGAAGUGACUUUCAACUAGGAUUCUCCUAAGAUGACCACGUGAAAUACUUCUGAUUAUCUACUUUGAUGAAAAUGGCUUAGCCUGGAGUCUUUGACCAUGAUUAACACCCAUGUCUAUGAAAUCACACCUGCAGGCCUACCUGGGGAGCAGUGGUUAUGAGGAGAGCACGCUUAGCACACCGAUGGGCUGGACCCCUAGUGUAAAGGCUACCACACUCCCAAUGGUGUGCAUGUGUGCACAGGUCAGGUUCUGGGCCACUGUGGGACAUCACGUGGAUGAAGGGCAGAGGUUCAGGGCAUACAGCAAGUAAAAAGCAGAGCUGGGACUCGACUAUUUGGGUUUCCUUGUGUUCCUGGGCUCUGUCUGCUGUCCAGGGAAUCUCCCUGUCUGUUUCCAGAGUUGUCUAGGUUGCCAGGGAAGGCCUGCUCACCUCUGGGUGCCCUCCAAUUCCAGCUUUAUGCAAAGAGGGAUAUGAGGCUUACCCCUGUCUUCACGGGCUCAUGGUUGGCAGCUGUGGCCCUGGUCAAUUGGUGCCCUCCCUUGCCACCCAACACCUCCCAGCCAGCUCAGUGAGAAGCAUAAACGCGUGUCG
rnacentral:lncRNA from 1 species